rnacentral:lncRNA from 1 species
CGCCCCACCGCCAAGAAGAUUCAGCCCACUGCCGCGUUCCUCCCUCCCCUGCAAACCCCCAAAAAAAGCAACAACCCAUCUCUUCUCACCUCCCCUCCCCAUCAAAAUUCAAGAUUCAGUCGCGCGUCGCCUCCUCCAUAUCCACAUCUGGAAACCCAGACGACCCCUCCUCCUGGCACCACUAACACUCACUCGUGCGCCGCCGCCCCUCCCCAAUUUGCCCAGCGCCGCCCCUUCUCUCACUUCUCUUGUCGAUUUCCCCAAUUUUUUUUUUGGCCGAUUUGAAUUGAGGUUUUCUUGCCAAUUUUUCCAAACACACAAGAACCCAAUUUCUUUUAGAAAGAAGGAAAUAUAUGGCUAACAAAGCACCCAUUUUUAAAAAUGAAACACACAAGAUCCCAUUUUUCUGUUGCUGCUUGUUGCAACAAUCUCGUGCCGCUGCAUUUUUCUUCAAGUGCAGGUGAGAUGUGGAUGGAUCAAAGAAGGUAAUGAAUAGAGGGCAAAUUUGGAGAAAAAAAAUACUCCCUCGGUCCAUGAAAAAGAGUCCCAUUUGGGGUUCGGCUCGGGUUUUAAGAAAGUUGUUAAAGUAGGUGUAAGUGAGAUAAAGGUAUAAUUUGUAGGGGCCUUAUUAGUACAAAAAGGUAGAAUAAAAGUACAUUUUUAGUUAAAAAGUGGAAUAAAAGUAUAAUUUAUAGUUAAAUAUAAGAAAAAAAGUAUGAUGUGAUGGUUCAAAAAGUUAAAUGAGACUCUUUUUCAUGGAAAAAAAAUGGGAUAAGUAGACUCACGGAGGGAGUACUAUAACUUGAUUUACUGUAGAAUCAAGCUUCCCUAACCGAGGGAGACCCCGUGCCUGUAUCCACGAUGAAACAGUGAUUUAGGCCCGUGCCGGACGUUUAAUCCGGGCUUUGAUAUUUUUUUAGUUGGGAGUGGUUUGAAAUUAAAGCCCAAUUUAAAGCCCAGUUCUGUCCGACGGGAUAGAAGUGUAAUUUCUUGC